CACGUAGGGUCCGAGCGUUGUCCGGAAUUACUGGGCGUAAAGCGCGCGCAGGCGGUUAGUCGCAUCGGCGGUGAAAGCCCCCCGCUUAACGGGGGAGGGUCCGUCGAGAUGGACUGACUGGAGGCAGGGAGAGGGCGGUGGAAUUCCGGGUGUAGUGGUGAAAUGCGUAGAGAUCCGGAGGAACACCAGUGGCGAAGGCGGCCGCCUGGACCUGACCUGACGCUGAGGCGCGAAGGCGCGGGGAGCGAACGGG
rnacentral:rRNA from 1 species